UGGGGAAUAUUGCACAAUGGGCGCAAGCCUGAUGCAGCCAUGCCGCGUGUAUGAAGAAGGCCUUCGUGUUGUAAAGUACUUUCAGCGGGGAGGAAGGGAGUAAAGUUAAUACCUUUGCUCAUUGACGUUACCCGCAGAAGAAGCACCGGCUAACUCCGUGCCAGCAGCCGCUGUAAUACGGAGGGUGCAAGCGUUAAUCGGAAUUACUGGGCGUAAAGCGCACGCAGGCGGUUUGUUAAGUCAGAUGUGAAAUCCCCGGGCUCAACCUGGGAACUGCAUCUGAUACUGGCAAGCUUUAGUCUCGUAGAGGGGGGUAGAAUUCCAGGUGUAGCGGUGAAAUGCGUAGAGAUCUGGAGGAAUACCGGUGGCGAAGGCGGCCCCCUGGACGAAGACUGACGCUCAGGUGCGAAAGCGUGGGGAGCAAACAGG
rnacentral:rRNA from 1 species